rnacentral:rRNA from 1 species
AUUGAACGCUGGCGGCAUGCCUUACACAUGCAAGUCGAACGGUAACGGGUCCUUCGGGAUGCCGACGAGUGGCGAACGGGUGAGUAAUAUAUCGGAACGUGCCCAGUAGUGGGGGAUAACUGCUCGAAAGAGCAGCUAAUACCGCAUACGACCUGAGGGUGAAAGGGGGGGAGUCGCAAGACCUCUCGCUAUUGGAGCGGCCGAUAUCAGAUUAGCUAGUUGGUGGGGUAAAGGCCUACCAAGGCUACGAUCUGUAGUUGGUCUGAGAGGACGACCAGCCACACUGGGACUGAGACACGGCCCAGACUCCUACGGGAGGCAGCAGUGGGGAAUUUUGGACAAUGGGCGCAAGCCUGAUCCAGCAAUGCCGCGUGCAGGAAGAAGGCCUUCGGUUGUAAACUGCUUUUGUCAGGAAGAAAUCUUCUGGGUUAAUACCUCGGGAGGAUGACGGUACCUGAAGAAUAAGCACCGGCUAACUACGUGCCAGCAGCCGCGGU